AGUGCAGAAGUUACGGUAAGAACAAUGGCGAAGGCAAGCCAGUUGUGAUAAGAACAGGGCUGUAGGGGGGCCUGGAGCCUAUACGAGGUAGCACAAGGCACAAGAUGGAUCUUACUACCACUUCACCAAAACAUAAUAUGGAUGAAGAUCUACACCUGAUUUAAUCUCAAGACAAAAACUGAAGCAACAGCACUAGGUAUCGGACCCUGGGGCCCACCGCCACGCUGUUGAUGGACGGCCCCUCCACGGGUCCGCCUCCAUUCCUGACGGGCGAAGGCCACUGCAGAACCUAAAAUGGGAAAGCAACGAGCGCCUCUCCUUAGCGUGUCUGCUAACAUACAUUUCAGAUGACAAUUAAGGUCAAUCAUAAAAAAAGCAUAAAUAAAUGCUUUGCAGGAACCAUUCUGUACCAACAUGGUCGCUAAUACAUAGAUUAUCGUUCUAGUGACAUUUUUCACUACUCAAACUAAACAGCCCCAGGAAAUCAGAGGCGCCAUCAUGCAUUGUGUGUUUAUUGGGUCGGGAUUACAGGCCCCAUGGUAAUGUUAUGUGCAUGUUUAUUACUUUACUCCUUUGACUUGUAUUUCCUGAGAUCACACACACAAUAAGGCACCUUACACACAGCACCACAUUAAGAAAAUCGAUAAUGCUUUUCAUUAACAUAGGUGCAUGAUACAUCACUUGACAUCGGAAUCGGCCAAUAUUUGUUGAAAGUCCUAUUGCCGGCUGAUAUUUAAACUUCAUCGAUAUUCAAAGUUAGCAGCGACAGAGCUAAAGACAACUGCAAAAGUAAUGGAAAUGACUGCACUGAAAAAAGAAUACAAAAAAACAAAAAGUAAAAU